CCUGAGAAACCCAAAAGUUCGAAUCGGGAGAUUCAUCGUCAGCGAUCUCGGCGGUGCGCGGUUCGCGAUGCCCGGGGCUUCGGUCCCGCGGCACGCGUCCGUGGAAUUUGUUGCCGGGUAUCGUCGUCGUGCACUUCUCCCGUAGUAGGACGUCGCGACCCGUUGGGUGUCGGUCUACGACCCGGGUGGGCGCCCGUCGCGCGUUACGCUUCACGGCGUCGCGCGGCAGACCCCCGGUUGUCCGACCAGCUGCCCGGCGGUACUCGCACGGUAUUGAGUCGCAAAUUUGAACUGCGUCCGGCCCGCCGCAAGCGAGGCCAGUGUUUCCCGGAUGUACGGACCUUGCGCCGUCACCGGGCCUGGCCGGCUGUUGGCAGGCGGUGUCCUGGGACUGGCUCUAAAUACCGGUCGGCGACGCUACUGCUUUGGGUACUUUCAGGACCCGUCUUGAAACACGGACCAAGGAGUCUAACAUGUGCGCGAGUCAUUGGGAUCUGUUAAGCCUAAAGGCGCAAUGAAAGUGAAGGUAGGCCUCGCGCCAACCGAGGGAGGAUGGGCCGCGUCACGAUGCGGUCCCGCACUCCCGGGGCGUCUCGUUCUCAUUACGAGAA
rnacentral:rRNA from 1 species